rnacentral:rRNA from 1 species
CUGCAUGGCUGUCGUCAGCUCGUGUCGUGAGAUGUUCGGUUAAGUCCGCUAACGAGCGCAACCCUCGUCGUGUGUUACAAGUGUCACGCGAGACCGCCGGUCAUAAACCGGAGGAAGGUGGGGAUGACGUCAAGUCAGCAUGGCCUUUAUGUCCUGGGCUACACACACGCUACAAUGGCCAGUACAAUUGGUAGCUAAGCCGCGAGGUGGAGCCAAUCCGUAAAAGCUGGCCUCAGUUCAGAUUGUAGGCUGCAACCCGCCUGCAUGAAGAUGGAGUUGCUAGUAACCGCAGGUCAGCAAUACUGCGGUGAAUACGUUCCCGGGUCUU